rnacentral:rRNA from 1 species
GGGUUGUGAGGUUAAGCGACUAAGCGUACACGGUGGAUGCCCUGGCAGUCAGAGGCGAUGAAGGACGUGCUAAUCUGCGAUAAGCGUCGGUGAGGUGAUAUGAACCGUUAUAACCGGCGAUUUCCGAAUGGGGAAACCCAGUGUGAUUUGUCACACUAUCAUUAACUGAAUCCAUAGGUUAAUGAGGCGAACCGGGGGAACUGAAACAUCUAAGUACCCCGAGGAAAAGAAAUCAACCGAGAUUCCCCCAGUAGCGGCGAGCGAACGGGGAGCAGCCCAGAGCCUGAAUCAGUGUGUGUGUUAGUGGAAGCGUCUGGAAAGGCGCGCGAUACAGGGUGACAGCCCCGUACACAAAAAUGCACAUACUGUGAGCUCGAUGAGUAGGGCGGGACACGUGGUAUCCUGUCUGAAUAUGGGGGGACCAUCCUCCAAGGCUAAAUACUCCUGACUGACCGAUAGUGAACCAGUACCGUGAGGGAAAGGCGAAAAGAACCCCGGCGAGGGGAGUGAAAAAGAACCUGAAACCGUGUACGUACAAGCAGUGGGAGCACGCUUCGGCGUGUGACUGCGUACCUUUUGUAUAAUGGGUCAGCGACUUAUAUUCUGUAGCAAGGUUAACCGAAUAGGGGAGCCGAAGGGAAACCGAGUCUUAACUGGGCGUUAAGUUGCAGGGUAUAGACCCGAAACCCGGUGAUCUAGCCAUGGGCAGGUUGAAGGUUGGGUAACACUAACUGGAGGACCGAACCGACUAAUGUUGAAAAAUUAGCGGAUGACUUGUGGCUGGGGGUGAAAGGCCAAUCAAACCGGGAGAUAGCUGGUUCUCCCCGAAAGCUAUUUAGGUAGCGCCUCGUGAAUUCAUCUCCGGGGGUAGAGCACUGUUUCGGCAAGGGGGUCAUCCCGACUUACCAACCCGAUGCAAACUGCGAAUACCGGAGAAUGUUAUCACGGGAGACACACGGCGGGUGCUAACGUCCGUCGUGAAGAGGGAAACAACCCAGACCGCCAGCUAAGGUCCCAAAGUCAUGGUUAAGUGGGAAACGAUGUGGGAAGGCCCAGACAGCCAGGAUGUUGGCUUAGAAGCAGCCAUCAUUUAAAGAAAGCGUAAUAGCUCACUGGUCGAGUCGGCCUGCGCGGAAGAUGUAACGGGGCUAAACCAUGCACCGAAGCUGCGGCAGCGACACUAUGUGUUGUUGGGUAGGGGAGCGUUCUGUAAGCCUGCGAAGGUGUACUGUGAGGUAUGCUGGAGGUAUCAGAAGUGCGAAUGCUGACAUAAGUAACGAUAAAGCGGGUGAAAAGCCCGCUCGCCGGAAGACCAAGGGUUCCUGUCCAACGUUAAUCGGGGCAGGGUGAGUCGACCCCUAAGGCGAGGCCGAAAGGCGUAGUCGAUGGGAAACAGGUUAAUAUUCCUGUACUUGGUGUUACUGCGAAGGGGGGACGGAGAAGGCUAUGUUGGCCGGGCGACGGUUGUCCCGGUUUAAGCGUGUAGGCUGGUUUUCCAGGCAAAUCCGGAAAAUCAAGGCUGAGGCGUGAUGACGAGGCACUACGGUGCUGAAGCAACAAAUGCCCUGCUUCCAGGAAAAGCCUCUAAGCAUCAGGUAACAUCAAAUCGUACCCCAAACCGACACAGGUGGUCAGGUAGAGAAUACCAAGGCGCUUGAGAGAACUCGGGUGAAGGAACUAGGCAAAAUGGUGCCGUAACUUCGGGAGAAGGCACGCUGAUAUGUAGGUGAAGUCCCUCGCGGAUGGAGCUGAAAUCAGUCGAAGAUACCAGCUGGCUGCAACUGUUUAUUAAAAACACAGCACUGUGCAAACACGAAAGUGGACGUAUACGGUGUGACGCCUGCCCGGUGCCGGAAGGUUAAUUGAUGGGGUCAGCGCAAGCGAAGCUCUUGAUCGAAGCCCCGGUAAACGGCGGCCGUAACUAUAACGGUCCUAAGGUAGCGAAAUUCCUUGUCGGGUAAGUUCCGACCUGCACGAAUGGCGUAAUGAUGGCCAGGCUGUCUCCACCCGAGACUCAGUGAAAUUGAACUCGCUGUGAAGAUGCAGUGUACCCGCGGCAAGACGGAAAGACCCCGUGAACCUUUACUAUAGCUUGACACUGAACAUUGAGCCUUGAUGUGUAGGAUAGGUGGGAGGCUUUGAAGUGUGGACGCCAGUCUGCAUGGAGCCGGCCUUGAAAUACCACCCUUUAAUGUUUGAUGUUCUAACGUAGACCCGUGAUCCGGGUUGCGGACAGUGUCUGGUGGGUAGUUUGACUGGGGCGGUCUCCUCCUAAAGAGUAACGGAGGAGCACGAAGGUUGGCUAAUCCUGGUCGGACAUCAGGAGGUUAGUGCAAUGGCAUAAGCCAGCUUGACUGCGAGCGUGACGGCGCGAGCAGGUGCGAAAGCAGGUCAUAGUGAUCCGGUGGUUCUGAAUGGAAGGGCCAUCGCUCAACGGAUAAAAGGUACUCCGGGGAUAACAGGCUGAUACCGCCCAAGAGUUCAUAUCGACGGCGGUGUUUGGCACCUCGAUGUCGGCUCAUCACAUCCUGGGGCUGAAGUAGGUCCCAAGGGUAUGGCUGUUCGCCAUUUAAAGUGGUACGCGAGCUGGGUUUAGAACGUCGUGAGACAGUUCGGUCCCUAUCUGCCGUGGGCGCUGGAGAACUGAGGGGGGCUGCUCCUAGUACGAGAGGACCGGAGUGGACGCAUCACUGGUGUUCGGGUUGUCAUGCCAAUGGCACUGCCCGGUAGCUAAAUGCGGAAGAGAUAAGUGCUGAAAGCAUCUAAGCACGAAACUUGCCCCGAGAUGAGUUCUCCCUGACCCUUUAAGGGUCCUGAAGGAACGUUGAAGACGACGACGUUGAUAGGCCGGGUGUGUAAGCGCAGCGAUGCGUUGAGCUAACCGGUACUAAUGAACCGUGAGGCUUAACCUUACAACGCCGAAG